UACGAGGGGGGCAAGCGUUGUUCGGAAUUAUUGGGCGUAAAGGGUGCGUAGGCGGUCUGAUAAGUCAUCUGUGAAAUCUAUGGGCUCAACCCAUAGUCUGCAUCGGAAACUGUCGGGCUGGAGUAUGGGAGAGGUGAGUGGAAUUUCCGGUGUAGCGGUGAAAUGCGUAGAUAUCGGAAGGAACACCUGUGGCGAAAGCGGCUCACUGGACCAUUACUGACGCUGAUGCACGAAAGCUAGGGGAGCAAACAGG
rnacentral:rRNA from 1 species